rnacentral:lncRNA from 1 species
AAGAAUGAAGGCAUACAUGUUCCUCAUUUGUUGCUGAGUCAAAGACUGGAUCCUUUGGAGAAGCAAGCCAUACAACCUAAUCAAGAUGUGCAUGUGUGUGGAUGGUGAAUAUGGUGGAUGGUGUAUGGACUCCUUUUUGUACGAUCCUUCUCUCUCCUUGGUUUCUUUCUUUUGAGACAUGGGCUAUCUUUUUUCUCUUUCUUUCUCUUUUUUUUCAUCAUGCUUUCAUGAGCAUGUACUUUAUUUCUUUUUGCAUAGCCCAAGUCUCUUUUGCAAGGAUACUUUGGAGAGAGAGGUCAUAGAAAAACAUGGAGCUUUAUUUUGUGGAUGAAUGAAAUGAUAUGAUUGCUAACUUCCAGUGUAGAAGUUUAGCAUAUGGUGGUGGUGUGUAC